GGUACAGUACCAGGCAGGAAAUAUUGUACAUCAACCUUUAGAAAGAGAGUUUCGUAGAGCGUUGUCUCUGUCGUUGAGACUGACAAAACGUUACAUAGGUAUGAGUAUGUAAUAUUAUAUGGACACCG